rnacentral:rRNA from 1 species
UACGGAAGGCAGCAGUGGGGAAUAUUGCACAAUGGGCGAAAGCCUGAUGCAGCUAUGCCGCGUGUAUGAAGAAGGCCUUAGGGUUGUAAAGUACUUUCAUCGGGGAGGAAAAAACAAAACUAAUAAUUUUAUUUCUUGACGUUACCCGAAAAAGAAGCACCGGCUAACUCCGUGCCAGCAGCCGCGGUAAUACGGAGGGUGCUAGCGUUAAUCAGAAUUACUGGGCGUAAAGAGCACGUAGGUGGUUUUUUUAAGUCAAAUGUGAAAUCCCUGGGCUUAACCUAGGAACUGCAUUUUGAAACUGAAAUACUAGAGUAUCGUAGAGGGAGGUAGAAUUCUAGGUGUAGCGGUGAAAUGCGUAGAUAUCUGGAGGAAUACCUGUGGCGAAAGCGGCCUCCUAAACGAAUACUGACACUGAGGGUGCGAAAGCGUGGGGAGCGAAACAGGGAUUAGAUAC